GGUUGAACCUUUACAAGAUCAUCCUUUCAAACCCCGACGACUGCCCAUGGGGGACGAAAAGAAAGAUGAGGGAGCAUGCGAUCCUAUCAAAAUUUUUCUCGAGGAGGACCUUGAAAAACAAAGGAAUGCGAUGAUGUAUAACUUCACCCAGAUUCUUCAACGAUUUCCCACUGGCGACGCAUCUGCAUCCAACAACCACUCUGGACACAGGUCUCCGCAAAGUCGUAAGACCAUGUAUGGGGGCUGACGCCUGCCCAGUGCCGGAAGGUUAAGGAAGUUGGUGACCUGAUGACGGGGAAGCCAGCGACCGAAGCCCCGGUGAACGGUGGCCGUAACUAUAACGGUCCUAAGGUAGCGAAAUUCCUUGUCGGGUAAGUUCCGACCCGCACGAAAGGCGUAACGAUCUGGGCACUAUCUCGGAGAGAGACUCGGUGAAAUAGACAUGUCUGUGAAGAUGCGGACUACCUGCACCUGGACAG
rnacentral:ncRNA from 1 species